GACGAACGCUGGCGGCGUGCCUAAUACAUGCAAGUUGAGCGAUGAAGCUUGGUGCUUGCACCAAUUUGAAGAGCAGCGAACGGGUGAGUAACGCGUGGGGAAUCUGCCUUUGAGCGGGGGACAACAUUUGGAAACGAAUGCUAAUACCGCAUAACAACUUUAAACAUAAGUUUUAAGUUUGAAAGAUGCAAUUGCAUCACUCAAAGAUGAUCCCGCGUUGUAUUAGCUAGUUGGUGAGGUAAAGGCUCACCAAGGCGAUGAUACAUAGCCGACCUGAGAGGGUGGUCGGCCAAAAUGGGAAUGAGACACGGCCCAAAAUCCUAAGGGAGGCAGCAGGAGGGAAUCUUCGGAAAGGGACGAAAGUCUGACCGAGGAACGCCGCGGGAGUGGAGAAGGGUUUCGGAGCGGAAAACUCGGUUGGUAGAGAAGAACGUUGGUGAGAGUAGAAAGCUCAUCAAGUGACGGUAACUACACAGAAAGGGACGGCUAACUACGUG
rnacentral:rRNA from 1 species